rnacentral:rRNA from 1 species
GACGAACGCUGGCGGCGUGCUUAACACAUGCAAGUCGAGCGGUAAGGCCCUUCGGGGUACACGAGCGGCGAACGGGUGAGGAACACGUGGGUGACCGGCCCUCCACUCUGGGAUAAGCCUGGGAAACCGGGUCUAAGGCCGGAUAUGACCUGCGCAUGCAUGUGCGGGGGGGGAGAGUGCUGGCGUUGGGGGAUGGGCCCGUGGUCUAGGAGCUUGUGGUUGGGGUGAUGGCGUACGAAGGCGACGACGGAUAGCCGGCCUGAGAGGGUGAUCGGCCACGCUGGCCGUGCGCCACGGCCCAGACUCCUGCGGCAGGCAGCAGUGGGGAAUCUUGCGCAAUGGGCGGACGCCUGACGCAGCAACGCCGCGCGGGGGAUGACGGCCUUCGGGUUGUAACCCUCUUUCGCGAUCGACGAAGGCCGUACUUCUGGUACGGGUGACGGUAGGUGGAGAAGAAGCACCGGCCAACUACGUG